GCAACCAGAAAGCUGGGUUCUGCCACUGUCCGCCGGCAGAGGGCGAAAAGGAGCCUGCGAAAUGGAGCCUGCGAAAUGAGAGAGAAGGGUGAUCACAGGAAGGAAAAGGGCGGAAAAACUCAACAGGCUCUGGAAGCUUUCCGCCAGAGAGGAUCUUGGAGAUUAGAAAGAAAGACAAAAAGAAAGUGUUGGUGAUUGACUUCAUCUGAAGCAGAGGAAUUCAAACGGGCUUCCAGAUUUUAGGUGGAUGUUAAUGCUGUUAACUGAUUUGACAUGUUGAAUUUGAGAUGUUAGACAUCGAAGUGAAUGGGUACUCUGAAAGAGCAUCAAGAAAAUCUGAUCGAAAAAAGAUCGACUGAGCUGGGCGCUGGAGUAUAAGCCAGAGUUUGACAG